GACCCAUGCCAACCGUGGGCAGCAGGCAGCUGGCGGAUCACAGUAUGUCAUGGUGUCACCAGAAAAGAUAAGACACCUCUUUACAGCUUUGAAAGCUAGGGAAUGUUUUAGCUACAGAACUUUUUCCCUGUGACACACAGGCCACAAGAUCGGCCUCCAUCUGUGCUUGCGAACAGCAUGGCGUCGCCUGUUUCCUGUGGCAACUUUCAAAUCAUCAGUCUAGGUAAAAAGAAGAACCAUCUAGAAGAGAAGAGAAAGAACUGGCCUAAGUCAGGCCCUUUCCUGUACUCAUCCAGAGUGAUUUGCCUUAGAGAAUAAGGAUCUUGCUGUGCCUUCGUCAUCCAAAUUCUACCAGUCCUGACUUGGAACGUGGCUCGACUAUCUGUCUGCAAUUCACAGUACACACUUGCUUUUCAAAGUUUACUUUCAGUAAACAACAAGUACUCAAAUCCAGAGACUUGGGUUUUCUUCGUGGUUACAAUAUCUACCUGAAGAGUAAGCGUAUGAAUUCUUUCCAAAUGCAGGUAGAGCAGCUCCUGAAGGCGGCAGUGGAGCACAUGGGUUGGAAAGACGCGGCGCCCUUAGGUUUGCCUCUUGGAACUCUGGUGUGUUGUUUCAUUUACAUAAACUUUGUGGCUGAAGUUGAAACCCCUAUUUGAAGAAGAUAGCUACUCUCCAGUGAUCUCCAGGGAUUCCCCCUGCCUCUGCUUUCCCAGUGCUGGGAUUCCAAGCACACCACCGUACCGAGCUUUGGAUUUUGUAGAAUAAACUCAGGUCCUUGUUCUUGCAGGGCAAGUACUCCAACAAUAUCUCCCGAGUCCUCAGAAAUGUCUUCCAACUCACAAAUGCCUUAAUGAUGGUCCAGCUGAGAACAGACCACCACAGACCUCAUAAGUGAUAGGAAACGCCCAGUGAGCAAUGAAGUCUUCUGAUUGGAAUCAUUGUAACUCAGUACCUUAGAAAAGCCCAUCUACCCUAUGGCCUUGCAAGGCUCAGGGGUGACUUGCUUAUGUUUCUUUUCUACUGAUGGUGUGAGAAGUAUAGGACUGAGGGAGGGAUUCCAUUCUGUUAUUGUUGGGAUCUCAGCACCGACUGCCAAAGCCAAUUGUACUAGCACACCGCCCGUCAGAGGAGCAGAGAAGGCGGUGGACACUGGAGGGCAGAAUUCAAGAUUCCAGGUUGCUCUUUACCAUGGGUUUGUAUUUGUAUUAUCUGUACUCAGAAGGAAUGCAACGUCUGUGAAAUGGGCAUUACAUGGCUUCAAGAGACCACGCAGACGCAUGUUCCCACUGGAUGUGGUCCAGCUGACCUGGCUGGUUGGCAGUAUAUGUGGAGGUGCAGAGGUGACACUGCCCUUGCCUCUACUCACAAGGCUGGAGUUUCAGGCCAGUGAGUGCUGAUGGCAAGAUGUGCCCACUUAGUUCCAUAAGCAAAGGGCACAGGAACAAACAUUAUUAGUCUGUUUUGGCUCACACAAUCACUUAUCUCAUUGUUCAUUAAAAAAAAAAAAAAGCAAACCAUUCACAUGGCUACUUUUCAAAAGGAAAGGGCCAAUAAAGUUAUGAAAAGC